rnacentral:lncRNA from 1 species
UACCAGGCGCAGGGCUGGGAGGCGCAGGCGACGGCGGGGGCACACCCGGCGCGGGGCUGGGCGGCUGCGGCGAAGGUGGCGGCGUACCAGGCGCAGGGCUGGGAGGCGCAGGCGACGGCGGGGGCACACCCGGCGCGGGGCUAGGCGGCUCCGGCGAAGGCGGCGGAGUACCAGGCGCAGGGCUGGGAGGCGCAGGCGACGGCGGGGGCACACCCGGCGCGGGGCUAGGCGGCUCCGGCGAAGGCGGCGGAGUACCAGGCGCAGGGCUGGGAGGCGCAGGCGACGGCGGGGGCACACCCGGCGCGGGGCUAGGCGGCUCCGGCGAAGGUGGCGGAGUACCAGGCGCAGGGCUGGGAGGCGCAGGCGACGGCGGGGGCACACCAGGUCCGGGGCUGGGCGGCUCCGGCGAAGGUGGCGGCGUGCCAGGCGCAGGGCUGGGAGGCGCAGGCGACGGCGGGGGCACACCCGGCGCGGGGCUGGGCGGCUGCGGAGAAGGAGGCGGCGUGCCAGGCGCAGGGCUGGGAGGCGCAGGCGACGGCGGGGGCACACCCGGCGCGGGGCUGGGCGGCUCCGGCGAAGGCGGCGGCGCGCCAGGCGCAGGGCUGGGAGGCGCAGGCGACGGCGGGGGCACACCCGGCGCGGGGCUAGGCGGCUCUGGCGAAGGCGGCGGCGUGCCAGGCGCAGGGCUGGGAGGCGCAGGCGACGGAGGGGGCACACCCGGCGCGGGGCUGGGCGGCUCCGGCGAAGGCGGCGGCGUGCCAGGCGCAGGGCUGGGAGGCGCAGGCGACGGAGGGGGCACACCCGGCGCGGGGCUGGGCGGCUCCGGCGAAGGCGGCGGCGUGCCAGGCGCAGGGCUGGGAGGCGCAGGCGACGGCGGGGGCACACCCGGCGCGGGGCUGGGCGGCUCCGGCGAAGGCGGCGGCGUGCCAGGCGCAGGGCUGGGAGGCGCAGGCGACGGCGGGGGCACACCCGGCGCGGGGCUAGGCGGCUCCGGCGAAGGCGGCGGAGUACCAGGCGCAGGGCUGGGAGGCGCAGGCGACGGCGGGGGCACACCAGGUCCGGGGCUGGGCGGCUCCGGCGAAGGAGGCGGCGUGCCAGGCGCAGGGCUGGGAGGCGCAGGCGACGGCGGGGGCACACCCGGCGCGGGGCUGGGCGGCUCCGGCGAAGGCGGCGGAGUACCAGGCGCAGGGCUGGGAGGCGCAGGCGACGGCGGGGGCACACCCGGCGCGGGGCUAGGCGGCUCCGGCGAAGGCGGCGGAGUACCAGGCGCAGGGCUGGGAGGCGCAGGCGACGGCGGGGGCACACCCGGCGCGGGGCUAGGCGGCUCCGGCGAAGGCGGCGGCGUACCAGGCGCAGGGCUGGGAGGCGCAGGCGACGGCGGGGGCACACCCGGCGCGGGGCUAGGCGGCUCCGGCGAAGGUGGCGGCGUACCAGGCGCAGGGCUGGGAGGCGCAGGCGACGGCGGGGGCACACCCGGCGCGGGGCUGGGCGGCUCCGGCGAAGGAGGCGGCGUGCCAGGCGCAGGGCUGGGAGGCGCAGGCGACGGAGGGGGCACACCCGGCGCGGGGCUGGGCGGCUCCGGCGAAGGCGGCGGCGUGCCAGGCGCAGGGCUGGGAGGCGAAGGCGAAGGCGGGGGCACACCCGGACCGGGGCUGGGCGGCUCCGGCGAAGGCGGCGCAGGGGUGGGAGGCGCAGGGCUGGGAGGCGCAGGCGACGGCGGGGGCACACCCGGCGCGGGGCUGGGCGGCUCCGGCGAAGGCGGUGGCGUGCCAGGCGCAGGGCUGGGAGGCGCAGGCGACGGCGGGGGCACACCCGGCGCGGGGCUAGGCGGCUCUGGCGAAGGCGGCGCAGGGCUGGGAGGCGCAGGGCUGGGAGGCACAGGCGACGGCGGGGGCACACCCGGUGCGGGGCUGGGCGGCUCCGGCGAAGGCGGCGCAGGGCUGGGAGGCGCAGGGCUGGGAGGCGAAGGCGAAGGCGGGGGCACACCCGGUCCGGGGCUGGGCGGCUCCGGCGAAGGUGGCGGCGUGCCAGGCGCAGGGCUGGGAGGCGCAGGCGACGGCGGGGGCACACCCGGCGCGGGGCUGGGCGGCUCCGGCGAAGGCGGUGGCGUGCCAGGCGCAGGGCUGGGAGGCGCAGGCGACGGCGGGGGCACACCCGGCGCGGGGCUGGGCGGCUCCGGCGAAGGUGGCGGCGUGCCAGGCGCAGGGCUGGGAGGCGCAGGCGACGGCGGGGGCACACCCGGCGCAGGGCUGGGCGGCUCCGGCGAAGGCGGCGGCGUGCCAGGUGCAGGGCUGGGAGGCGCAGGCGACGGCGGGGGCACGCCCGGCGCGGAGCUGGGCGGCUCCGGCGAAGGCGGCGGCGUGCCAGGCGCAGGGCUGGGAGGCGCAGGCGACGGCGGGGGCACACCCGCCGCGGGGCUGGGCGGCUCCGGCGAAGGCGGCGGCGUGCCAGGCGCAGGGCUGGGAGGCGCAGGCGACGGCGGGGGCACACCCGGCGCGGGGCUGGGCGGCUCCGGCGAAGGUGGCGGCGUGCCAGGCGCAGGGCUGGGAGGCGCAGGCGACGGCGGGGGCACACCCGGCGCGGGGCUAGGCGGCUCUGGCGAAGGCGGCGCAGGGCUGGGAGGCGCAGGGCUGGGAGGCGCAGGCGACGGCGGGGGCACACCCGGUGCGGGGCUGGGCGGCUCCGGCGAAGGCGGCGGAGUACCAGGCGCAGGGCUGGGAGGCGCAGGCGACGGCGGGGGCACGCCCGGACCGGGGCUAGGCGGCUCUGGCGAAGGUGGCGGCGUACCAGGCGCGGGGCUGGGAGGCGCAGGCGACGGCGGGGGCACGCCCGGCGCGGGGCUGGGCGGCUCCGGCGAAGGAGGCGGCGUGCCAGGCGCAGGGCUGGGAGGCGCAGGCGACGGCGGGGGCACACCCGGUCCGGGGCUGGGCGGCUCCGGCGAAGGCGGCGGCGUGCCAGGCGCAGGGCUGGGAGGCGCAGGCGACGGCGGGGGCACACCCGGCGCGGGGCUGGGCGGCUCCGGCGAAGGCGGCGGCGUGCCAGGCGCAGGGCUGGGAGGCGCAGGCGACGGCGGGGGCACACCCGGCGCGGGGCUGGGCGGCUCCGGCGAAGGCGGCGGCGUGCCAGGCGCAGGGCUGGGAGGCGCAGGCGACGGCGGGGGCACACCCGGCGCGGGGCUGGGCGGCUCCGGCGAAGGCGGUGGCGUGCCAGGCGCAGGGCUGGGAGGCGCAGGCGACGGCGGGGGCACACCCGGCGCGGGGCUAGGCGGCUCUGGCGAAGGCGGCGGCGUACCAGGCGCAGGGCUGGGAGGCGCAGGCGACGGCGGGGGCACACCCGGACCGGGGCUGGGCGGCUCCGGCGAAGGUGGCGGCGUGCCAGGCGCGGGGCUGGGAGGCGCAGGCGACGGCGGGGGCACACCCGGCGCGGGGCUGGGCGGCUCCGGCGAAGGCGGCGCAGGGCUGGGAGGCGCAGGGCUGGGCGGCUCCGGCGAAGGCGGCGGCGUGCCAGGCGCAGGGCUGGGAGGCGAAGGCGAAGGCGGGGGCACACCCGGCGCGGGGCUGGGCGGCUCCGGCGAAGGUGGCGGCGUGCCAGGCGCAGGGCUGGGAGGUGCAGGCGACGGCGGGGGCACACCCGGCGCGGGGCUGGGCGGCUCCGGCGAAGUCGGCGGCGUGCCAGGCCUUUCCAGCACANNNNNNNNNNNNNNNNNNNNNNNNNNNNNNNNNNNNNNNNNNNNNNNNNNNNNNNNNNNNNNNNNNNNNNNNNNNNNNNNNNNNNNNNNNNNNNNNNNNNGGGCACCACAGGCGCGGGGCUAGGCGGCUCCGGCGAAGGCGGCGGAGUACCAGGCGCAGGGCUGGGAGGCGCAGGCGACGGCGGGGGCACACCCGGCGCGGGGCUAGGCGGCUCCGGCGAAGGUGGCGGCGUACCAGGCGCAGGGCUGGGAGGCGCAUGCGACGGCGGGGGCACACCAGGUCCGGGGCUGGGCGGCUCCGGCGAAGGCGGCGGCGUGCCAGGCGCAGGGCUGGGAGGCGCAGGCGACGGAGGGGGCACACCCGGCGCGGGGCUGGGCGGCUCCGGCGAAGGCGGCGGCGUGCCAGGCGCAGGGCUGGGAGGCGCAGGCGACGGAGGGGGCACACCCGGCGCGGGGCUGGGCGGCUCCGGCGAAGGCGGCGGCGUGCCAGGCGCAGGGCUGGGAGGCGCAGGCGACGGCGGGGGCACACCCGGCGCGGGGCUGGGCGGCUCCGGCGAAGGCGGCGGCGUGCCAGGCGCAGGGCUGGGAGGCGCAGGCGACGGCGGGGGCACACCCGGCGCGGGGCUAGGCGGCUCCGGCGAAGGCGGCGGAGUACCAGGCGCAGGGCUGGGAGGCGCAGGCGACGGCGGGGGCACACCAGGUCCGGGGCUGGGCGGCUCCGGCGAAGGAGGCGGCGUGCCAGGCGCAGGGCUGGGAGGCGCAGGCGACGGAGGGGGCACACCCGGCGCGGGGCUGGGCGGCUCCGGCGAAGGCGGCGGCGCGCCAGGCGCAGGGCUAGGAGGCGCAGGCGACGGCGGGGGCACGCCCGGUCCGGGGCUGGGCGGCUCCGGCGAAGGCGGCGGCGCGCCAGGCGCGGGGCUGGGAGGCGCAGGCGACGGCGGGGGCACGCCCGGCGCGGGGCUGGGCGGCUCCGGCGAAGGCGGCGGAGUACCAGGCGCAGGGCUGGGAGGCGCAGGCGACGGCGGGGGCACACCCGGCGCAGGGCUGGGCGGCUCCGGCGAAGGAGGCGGCGUGCCAGGCGCGGGGCUGGGAGGCGCAGGCGACGGCGGGGGCACACCCGGCGCGGGGCUGGGCGGCUCCGGCGAAGGCGGCGGCGUGCCAGGCGCAGGGCUGGGAGGCGCAGGCGACGGAGGGGGCACACCCGGCGCGGGGCUGGGCGGCUCCGGCGAAGGCGGCGGCGUGCCAGGCGCAGGGCUGGGAGGCGCAGGCGACGGCGGGGGCACACCCGGCGCGGGGCUGGGCGGCUCCGGCGAAGGGGGCGCAGGGCUGGGAGGCGCAGGGCUGGGAGGCGCCGGCGAAGGCGGGGGCACACCCGGCGCAGGGCUGGGCGGCUCCGGCGAAGGCGGCGCAGGGCUGGGAGGCGCAGGCGACGGCGGGGGCACACCCGGCGCGGGGCUGGGCGGCUCCGGCGAGGGAGGCGCGGGGCUGGGAGGCGCAGGCGACGGCGGGGGCACACCCGGCGCGGGGCUGGGCGGCUCCGGCGAAGGUGGCGGCGUACCAGGCGCAGGGCUGGGAGGCGCAGGCGACGGAGGGGGCACACCCGGUCCGGGGCUGGGCGGCUCCGGCGAAGGCGGCGGCGUGCCAGGCGCAGGGCUGGGAGGCGCAGGCGACGGCGGCGCAGGGCUGGGCGGGGCCGGCGAGGGAG